rnacentral:rRNA from 1 species
UACGGAGGGGGCUAGCGUUGUUCGGAAUUACUGGGCAUAAAGCGCACGUAGGCGGCUAGGUCCGUCCGAUGUGAAAGCCCCCGGCUCAACCGGGGAAUUGCAUCGGAUACAGCCUGGCUUGAGGACGGUUGGGGUGAGUGGAACUCCUGGUGGAGCGGUGAAAUGCGUAGAUAUCAGGAGGAACACCGGUGGCGAAAGCGGCUCACUGGACCGUUGCUGACGCUGAGGUGCGAAAGCUAGGGGAGCAAACGGG